UGCGUAACCGUUUCUGUGUGA
rnacentral:piRNA from 1 species